GACAAGUCAAAGUCCAACUUGACUGUGGCCACUGCCCAUAGAGGGUGAUAGGCCCGUAAGGCUGUCGGUUGACUGUGGCGACUUUUCCCUCGAGUCGGGUUGCUUGGGAGUGCAGCCCAAAGUGUGAGGUAAACUCCUCAUAAGCCUAAAUAUUACCCUGAGACCGAUAGCAAACAAGUACGGUGACGGAAGAUUGAAAAGAACUUUGAAGAGAGAGUUCAAUAGUACGUGAAACUGUGUGGUGGUAAACGGAGGGGUUCUCGAAGUUUCUGGAGGGAACUCAGCCUUGGAGCGGGGCUGUCUGUCUGUGUCCGAUCAGCAAUGACGGUGCGGCCAGUCAGGCUCUGUUCACGGGUGCAUUUCCCCUUCAGUUUACGGCAGGAACCGUUUAGUGCAGACCUAAGGCUCUGGGUGAAGUUAUAGGCCUAGCUUGUAGCCCCGGAUGUUCUGGCUUUGCGCUAGACGGGUAAUUGAGGAGACUCGUAUAGCGAGCAAUGCUCUGUUGCCGUCUCCAUCUCUCUGCCGAGUAGGUCGGUGGCCCCUCCGACCCGUCUUGAAACACGGACCAAGGAGUCUAACAUGUAUGCGAGCCAUUGAGUUGACUAAACUUAAAGGCGUAGUGAAAGCAAAGAGUAGCUUGCUGCUCGA
rnacentral:rRNA from 1 species